rnacentral:rRNA from 1 species
UACGUAGGGGGGCUAGCGUUGUCCGGAUUCAUUGGGCGUAAAGAGCGUGUAGGCGGCCAGGUAGGUCGGUUGUGAAAACUGGAGGCUCAACCUUCAGAGGUCGACCGAAACCAUCUGGCUAGAGUCCGGGAGAGGAGAGUGGAAUUCCUGGUGUAGCGGUGAAAUGCGCAGAUAUCGGGAAGAACACCCGUGGCGAAGGCGGCUCUCUGGGACGGUACUGACGCUGAGACGCGAAAGCGUGGGGAGCGAACAGG